GACGAACGCUGGCGGCGUGCUUAACACAUGCAAGUCGAACGGAAAGGCCCUGCUUUUGUGGGGUGCUCGAGUGGCGAACGGGUGAGUAACACGUGAGUAACCUGCCCUUGACUUUGGGAUAACUUCAGGAAACUGGGGCUAAUACCGGAUAGGAGCUCCUGCUGCAUGGUGGGGGUUGGAAAGUUUCGGCGGUUGGGGAUGGACUCGCGGCUUAUCAGCUUGUUGGUGGGGUAGUGGCUUACCAAGGCUUUGACGGGUAGCCGGCCUGAGAGGGCGACCGGCCACAUGGGGACUGAGAUACGGCCCAGACUCCUACGGGAGGCAGCAGUGGGGAAUAUUGCACAAUGGGCGGAAGCCGGAUGCAGCAACGCCGCGUGCGGGAUGACGGCUUUCGGGUUGUAAACCGCUUUCGCCUGUGACGAAGCGUGAGUGACGGUAAUGGGUAAAGAAGCACCGGCUAACUACGU
rnacentral:rRNA from 1 species